rnacentral:rRNA from 1 species
AUUGAACGCUGGCGGCAGGCCUAACACAUGCAAGUCGAGCGGAUGAAGGGAGCUUGCUCCUGGAUUCAGCGGCGGACGGGUGAGUAAUGCCUAGGAAUCUGCCUGGUAGUGGGGGAUAACGUCCGGAAACGGGCGCUAAUACCGCAUACGUCCUGAGGGAGAAAGUGGGGGAUCUUCGGACCUCACGCUAUCAGAUGAGCCUAGGUCGGAUUAGCUAGUUGGUGGGGUAAAGGCCUACCAAGGCGACGAUCCGUAACUGGUCUGAGAGGAUGAUCAGUCAACACGGAACUGAGACAACGUCCAGAACCCUAACGGAGGCAGGAGUGGGGAAUUAUUGAAAAAUGGGCGAAGGCUUAUUCAGCCCUGGCGCGUGUGUGAAAAAGGUCUUCGGAUUGGAAAGCACCUUUAGGUGGGAAGAAAGGCAGUUAGUUAAUAACCUGCUGGUUUGACGUUAACCACAAAAUAAGGCACGGCUAACCUUGUG